UCGGACUUUAGCUGCGUCCGAAACCGCCUACUUCUCUACUAUUUAGUAGGGGAAAAGCAGUAGGCGAGCGAAUAAGUAUGUCCGAAGCAAAAAGAGUAGGCGAAAAUUACCUGGGUGACGUACUAAUUCUCGCGAGAUGCGGACGUGCGUCUACUUAAAGUGCGUCCGAAACCGCCUACUUCUCUACUAUAUAAUAGGGAAAAAGCAGUAGGCGAGCAAUUAAGUAUGUCAGAAACCUCAGUAAUCAUAAAUGAGUAGUUGAGAAGUUCCCGGAUGGCCUACUACUUCCACCCAGAUUCUGAAGUGUUCCUCGAUCGAUACUUUUCUAUCCCAGGAGGCCACGGGAGAGGAUACGUCAUAAUUGAACACGGAGGAGAAAAGCGGCGCGGAUGCUUUCAAAUGUGAGUACUGAAAACUAAAAACACGGUUCCUUGUAAUAAAAUAGCAUUUGUUGAACUACUGUAGAGUAAACCGCUGAAUGUGUAAAGAUGCUAGACACUAUAGUUGUGAUUUUACAGUAAAAACACGAUUUAUUAUGAUAACAGGGGAGCUCUAGUAAACACACAUAACUUAAUUCUCCGAAGUGGAUUUACAUAUUCUAAACCACAUCUUAAAGGUGCUUAUUAAAUGUUUAUUUAACAUCUGACAGGAACAUCUUCUUUAAGUAUUAUGGCUUAUGAGUGAUGGAUUAUGUAUGAGUGAUGUAUGUGUGCUAUUAUGUAGAAUUCACUGUUGUCAACACUGCUUACAUUACAUGAAUGAAAAUAACGUAAAUAAAUAAAUCUACAUAAAAUAAACAUAAGUUUAAUCUAUUUUAUUUGUCCAUUAGUACUGUUGGUAAAUUAAGGAACAUUUGUAUUGGAUAAAAAGAGUAUAAACAUGUAAAUGUAGUAUUGAGCAAAUAAAUCUCAGAGAAAACUUGAAUCUUGUCUGGAUGUUACAGGGACAGAUGAUCACACGUGUGUUCAUCCGAUGAUGAAGGAAUGCUGCCAUCAAAGGCUUUGAAGCUUUGUGGUGAAGCAGGACCUACAAGACAAGGUGACUGCAGCAAAAAAGGAAAACUUGAAACAAAAAUAUAAAGAUGUGAAAUGUCCUCAGACUGGUGUGAGCACUGAGGAUGGAGAGCCACAGCAGGUCCUGGAAAUGGUGUAGAGCCAUGGACGAGACGCUCCAUCACUCCUCCUUCCAAGUGACUUGAUCAAGGACACACUGGAGGUGAUGCUGCAGAGAUUGAACCAGCAACCUUCUGCUGACCAGCUCAGUGGUUUAGCCCACCACCACACCACAAAAUCAUGCUGAUGGAGAGCACAUGAAUGUUUGCAGCAGACACAGCAGCAGCCAUAUUGUCCUGCACAUCUUCUCCCACUCUUGCUUCAAGGUUGUGGGGUUCAGGGGUCCAUCAUCAUCAUCUUCCUCAUCCUCUGGAUCAACA